GAUGAACGCUGGCGGCGUGCCUAAUACAUGCAAGUCGAGCGAACGGACGAGAAGCUUGCUUCUCUGAUGUUAGCGGCGGACGGGUGAGUAACACGUGGAUAACCUACCUAUAAGACUGGGAUAACUUCGGGAAACCGGAGCUAAUACCGGAUGAUAUUUUGAACCGCAUGGUUCAAAAGUGAAAGACGGUCUUGCUGUCACUUAUAGAUGGAUCCGCGCUGCAUUAGCUAGUUGGUAAGGUAACGGCUUACCAAGGCAACGAUGCAUAGCCGACCUGAGAGGGUGAUCGGCCACACUGGAACUGAGACACGGUCCAGACUCCUACGGGAGGCAGCAGUAGGGAAUCUUCCGCAAUGGGCGAAAGCCUGACGGAGCAACGCCGCGUGAGUGAUGAAGGUCUUCGGAUCGUAAAACUCUGUUAGUAGGGAAGAACAUAUGUGUAAGUAACUGUGCACAUCUUGACGGUACCUAAACAGAAAGCCACGGCUAACUACGUG
rnacentral:rRNA from 1 species